UACGAAGGGGGCUAGCGUUGUUCGGAAUUACUGGGCGUAAAGCGCACGUAGGCGGACUAUUAAGUCAGGGGUGAAAUCCCGGGGCUCAACCCCGGAACUGCCUUUGAUACUGGAGAGCUUGAGUUCGGGAGAGGUGAGUGGAACUGCGAGUGUAGAGGUGAAAUUCGUAGAUAUUCGCAAGAACACCAGUGGCGAAGGCGGCUCACUGGCCCGAUACUGACGCUGAGGUGCGAAAGCGUGGGGAGCAAACAGG
rnacentral:rRNA from 1 species